AUCAAGAUAUGGUUGUUAU
rnacentral:snRNA from 1 species